AGUGAACGCUGGCGGUAGGCCUAACACAUGCAAGUCGAACGGCAGCACAGUAAGAGCUUGCUCUUACGGGUGGCGAGUGGCGGACGGGUGAGGAAUACAUCGGAAUCUACUUUUUCGUGGGGGAUAACGUAGGGAAACUUACGCUAAUACCGCAUACGACCUACGGGUGAAAGCAGGGGAUCUUCGGACCUUGCGCGAUUGAAUGAGCCGAUGUCGGAUUAGCUAGUUGGCGGGGUAAAGGCCCACCAAGGCGACGAUCCGUAGCUGGUCUGAGAGGAUGAUCAGCCACACUGGAACUGAGACACGGUCCAGACUCCUACGGGAGGGAGCAGUGGGGAAUAUUGGUCAAAGGGCGCAAGCCUGAUCCAGCCAUACCGCGUGGGUGAAGAAGGCCUUCGGGUUGUAAAGCCCUUUUGUUGGGAAAGAAAAGCAGCAGGUUAAUACCCCGCUGUUCUGACGGUACCCAAAGAAUAAGCACCGGCUAACUUCGUG
rnacentral:rRNA from 1 species